rnacentral:lncRNA from 1 species
AAUCAAAAGAUUUUUUCACUCCACAUAUGAGCUCUCUCACGUUUUUGCCUCCAAGUUUCCAAAUUUCCAAGUGCUCAAGUUUUCUAGCUUUCCAAAGCAUCAAAAGCUCUCCAACUUCUUCUAAUCUUCUUGUUCAUCUCUAUAAGUAAGAAGUGUUGUUUGCUUUAAUAUUCCACUCCUCUAAUCACCUCUUGUGUGUGUCCACUUUGGUUGAGAGGGUUGUCUCAAUAGUACCAAAGUGUGAGAGAAGGUUUUUGAGCUCAACCAUAAAGCUCUAGUUUGGUUUUAUAGAGUUUCUGGGAAAACUCUUAGGUCGAAUCUACCUUGAAAGAUUUCUAGGUUUUUAAGAGUUCCUUGAUACUCUAAGGUACUAACUUACCCGUAAAAUUUAGAGGUUUUUAAGAGUUCCUUUGAUACUCAAAGGUGCGAGUCUACCCGUAAAAGACUGGUUCCUAAGCGAAGUAGCCUUAAAGCUUAGAGAGGUUUUUAAGAAUUCAUUGAUACUAACCCUAACCCUAACCCUAAUUCAUUAAUACUCCAAAUAAGCUUAGAGCUUUAUGGUUGAGCUCAAAAACUUUCUCUCAUACUUUGGUGAUAUUGAGACAAACCUCUCAAGCAAAGUGGACACACACAAGAGAUGAUUAGAGGAGUGGAAUAUUAAACACAGAAAAUUUCUUACUUGUAAAGAUGAACAAGAGGAUUAGAAGUAGAAGUUGAGAAGCCUUUGAAGCUUUGGAAAGCUAGAACACUUGAGAAUUUUUGGAAGCUCUUUGAAAUGCUUUAGGUGUGGUGAACGAAAAUGAGAGUGUUACCCCUUUAUUUAUAGCCUUGGUCAUCACUUGUCCACCCUUGGAUCUUCAAUGGAUGCAGGUUCUUUGAUUCCUCACAUGAGUCCAAGACUUGUCUUCUCUUUUCUUGGGAAGAUUCUUUUGUUAAUAGUGGAUUUCAUCGAUCCGAAACAUCUUUUGUCUCCUUGAGAAGAUGCUUUGUGAUUAGUGGAUUAUAUCCAAGUUAUCUUUUUGUCCCCUUGAGAAAAUUAUUUGUGAAUAGUAGCUUGUGCUCAUGGAAUAUUGUAUUUUGAAUAAAGUGUUAGAGAUAAUAACAAUAAUUAUUAUAUUCAAGGUGUUUUAUGCAAUUGUACCAAUUCCAAUCUUGACUUUGAUCUAUACCUUUGACUUAAUUAAUUUAUUGAUUAAUUUCAAGUUAGGUCUAAUUAAUUUUGACUAAUUACAACAUUUAGAUUAAUAGUGUAAUUAGGGUUAAAAUUAACAUGAAUAAAAUAUAAUCCUUUGUCGACAAUUUUGAUUUUAUAUUCUCCCCUUUUGUCGAUGACAUAUAUGUUUUAAUUCAUGUUUAGUCAAUAUUUUAUCUUACCCUUAUGAGCAUGCUCCUCCUGAAUUAUUAACUCAUAAUAUUCAGUUUAAAAUAAUGGAUCAUAAUAUAUCUCCCCCUUAAAACAAUAAGGUGUUGACAAAGUAAAACUUGGUACAUAUGGAGUAUCUCCCUCUUAAUGAUAGAAUAUAUCGAAUUUGUGGAGAAAAUAAAAGUUCAUACCUCAUUAAGCUUGAUCACAAAUUUGAAUUUCGUGGUUGAUCAAAUGUGACAUUUGCUUAUAAGAAUGUUAGUCAAUCAUAUAGGAGAAAUAUAAUUUUGUUCAUUUGAGAAAAUAUAAUAUGAAGGUUAAUUUUGAUAUACAUUUUAAGGAAAGUAUGAUAUGAUAAUUUUUAUUGUCUUGUGUUAAGAUCAUGAAAAAUGAAUAAUAAUUCAUGUGUGUUAUGGAUGAAUUGAUGUUAACAUGUAUGUAGUAUGGAUUAAAGAUUUUAUAAUGUUAUAAUCCAUAAGAUAUUUUAGUGAAUGAUAUGUAUGCAUAAAACAAUAUUCACUAAUAACAUUAAGAAAGAUUUGUUUUUAAGCCCUUAGAUUUCUUUUAAAAUCAAUGUCUUAGUGACUAAUAUCUAUAACCAUGUUAAUAUUCACUAAGUUGUAAGAAUUUUAAUUUCAGCGCUUAACGUUUUAAUAAUGAGUUUCACUUAAAAAAAAUUCACUUAACCCCUUUAAAGUUAUAAUAAAUACAAAGUGAUUAAUACUUCAUGAAAAAAUUUCAUUUUAUGUCUUGGAAGUAUUAAACAAUCAUGGGUAUUUGCUGAUUUAAAACUUCACUUAAAAAAUUUAGUUUAAACUCUUUGAAGUUAUGAUAAAUACUAAAAAAAUUUCAUUUUAAACCUUGGAAGUAUUACAUAAUUCUAAGCAUUUUCCGAUUUUUAAAACUUCAUACAAAUAUUUAUUCUAAGUCCUUGAAGUUUUAAAUAACUAUUCACUGAAAAAAUAUAACUUAACUCCUUAAUAUUCAGCGAAUUAAUACCUUGUAUUAUUGCUUCAUAAGUAUUUUUCAUUCUAUUCCUUGAAGUUAUAAUACUUAACCAUGCAGUCCUUUAAUAUUUUAUAUUUCUGUCAACACUGGGAAUCUGUCAACAGUGGGAUUACCAAGUCGCCGACUCCAGAGGUGAUCCGCCGAUUCUAGGCCUCGUUGGUCAGUUCUGGUAGACUGCCAACCUGGCUCAUGGGGAAUCGAUGGUCUCACUCUGAGUCGCUGACUCCCAUAGCUGAGUCGCCGACUCCCAUAACUGAGUCGCCGACUCCCAGCCGUUACUUGACUUGGCCCACGCUAUUAUUGCACCCUUAAUGAGGCACUGAUGAAGCACGAAAUCUGCUACCAAUAGGCUCGCGGGGUUGCGAGGAGGGCCGGAGGCUUUGGAGUCCACGACGCGCGCUCUACGUCAAAUACCUGCACAAGUGGAGGGGAGUCGGCGACUCAUGUGUGGGAGUCGGCGACUCGGGCUCCUUUGUUCUUUGGUGUGGAGUGUUGUGAGUCAAGGUGACUUGUUGUGAAUGGAGGACACCCCUAGGACCCCUUUUAUAGGGUCCUAGAGGCGUUUCCAUUCAAUUGAGUGGGGCCCACCCCAUUAUGGUAUCCUAUUGAAGGGUGCCAUAAUGGUGUGCGCCCGCCCGUGUAACAGCUGGGAGUCGGCGACUCAGGUGUGGGAGUCGUCGAUCCAGAGGUGGAGUCGCCGAUUUCUUUGAGGCCAAGUCCUCGGUCUACCAGACCCGAGUUCCCUGGCCGGAUCGGCGAUACACCUCUGGAGUCGGCGACUCUCAAGUGUUGCCUUGGGCUCUUGACGUAGACACGUGCUCCGCACCGUGGAAGCCUUCCGGGGGUCCGGCAUAUAGCAACGGAACCCUAUUCCUUGUUUGAAGGGCGUUGUUGGGAGUGACUGACGUAAUCAGGCAUGUCUCGCCAGUACUCCCUCUUGAAGAGAGCAUAGGAGACAUGUGUGUAACGCCAGUAUCCCCCCCCAAGCAAGGUGAUCCGCAUCAAGGCCAAAGCGACAAGAUGGGAUCAAAUCAUUGCGGCCACAACGACACAAUGACUCCGUUAUCCAUGCACUAUUAGAUGGAUUGAUUCACUAUCAGAAUCUAGUUUCAGGCCAAUAGAACUACAUGUUUAUAGUCCAACUCUGAUCAGGAGUGACUCUUUCUGUGCUAUCAUUAAGGCCAAAGAGACAAGAUGAGAGGAGAUUAUUAAGGCUAAAGCGACACAAUAAUUCCCGUCCAUUAAGGCCAAUGCGACAAAAUGGUCCGACUCACUAUCAGAGUCUGAUUCUGGCCGAAGCGACAGAAUGCGUGGAUCCUGGCCAAAGCGACAGGAUCUAGUUCACUAUCAGAACUGAUGUUUAUAGUCCACCCUGAUCAAGAGCGACUUUACGUCUGCAACGACGGUUACCCCACCAAGGCCGAAGCGACAAAGUGGGUCGAGAUCAUUAAGGCCAAAGCGACAAAAUGAUCUUCAAGUCUAUCAAGGCCAAAGCGACAAGAUAGAAAAAUUAUUGAGGCCAUUAAGGCCAGAGCGACAAAAUGAACCGACUCAUUAUCAGAGUCUGAUUUUGGCCAAAGCGACAGGAUCAUUCCUACAAAACAAAAUAACCUGCAAAACAACUGUAUCAGUCUAAAGGAUAUAUUUAUUGAUUUACUGACCUUGUCGUGCGGGGCUGCUCCUCGUGCUGCUCCUCCCUAUGCUCAAUAAAUCCUUGAUUGAUCUGGCCGGAGCGCCAGAUCUAUCAUGCUCAUAAUGUGACAGCUUCUGGCCAAAGCGACGGAAGUGUCGGGAAGAGCUUAUGAUACUCCCCCCCGAGUUCGACGACUUCUGGCCAAAGCGACAAAAGUAUCGGGAAGAGCUUGUGAUGCUCCCCCCUUGAGAUCAUUAAGGCCUAAGCGUCAAAAUGACCUCUGGUCUACUAAGGCCGAAGCGACGAAGCAGACCGACUCACUAUCAGAGUCUGAUUCUGACCAAGGCUACAGAUCCACUAUCAGGAUCCGAUUCUCGCCUCGAAUACAGAACCUGCUGAUUCACUAUUAGAAUCUGAUUCCGGUUGAGGCUACAGAUUCACUAUCAGAAUCCGAUCCUAGCCCGGACUACGGAAUCUUACCUGCAAAAAAGGAAAGCACUCUGCAAAACAACUAGAUUAGUCCAUAAACGCAUAUAUUUAUUGUUGAACUUAAUAUGCGAUUUACCUUUCGUGAUGCCCUUCCUUUGCUCAAAUUUUUUGACGACUUCUGGCCGAAGCGACAGAAAUGUCGGGAGAGCUUGUGAUACUCCCCCCGAAAUUUGACGACUUCUGGACGAAGCGACAGAAUUGUCGGGAGAGCUUGUGAUACUCCCCCCGAAAUUUGACGACUUCUGGCCGAAGCGACAGAAUUGUCGGGAGAGCUUGUGAUACUCCCCCUCGGCAUAAAAAUGUGUUCUGGUGAAGUGGUAGGAGUGUUGGAGAGAGUUUGUGAUACUCCCCCCGAAUUGUGACAACUUCUGGCCGAAGCGACAGAAGUGUCAUGGAGAGUUUGUGAUACUCCCCUUGGAAUGAGACGACUUCUAGCCAAAACGACAGAAGUGUUGAUGAGAGUUUAUGAUACUCUCCUCCAAAGAUGGGCGAGACGACUUCCGGCUAGAGUGACAGAAGCGUCGGAGAGAGUUUGUGAUACUCCCCCUGAAAUCGUACCGUUGUGACAGAUUGUAGAGUUAUGCUUUGGAUGUUUGUGCCCGAGGCGAUAGAAGUAUUGAGGAGAGCUUGUGAUACUCCCCUCGAAAAUCAUGUCAACCCGACAACUUUUAAAAUAUUGGUGUAACGGAGGUAUUGGAGGGAGCUUGUGAUACUCCUCCCGAGAAUCAUGUCGUCGUGACAUAUGACUUUUCGGAAUAUUUUGCAAUCUUUCUAUUUUGAUUAUCAAUGAACUAUCUUUUGUCUUUUCUUUGCCAAUCUUCCAUAUAAACUAUCUUUAAAUUGUAACCUAGGCUCGAAACUAGAUUCACAAGCCGUAACUUAGCCACUCUGGACGUAAGUUAGACUCUGCUAACCCGCGGUUAGCCAGUCGGGACGUAAACUUGGUCGUACGAAUCGUAGUUCAGUCAUUGGUUAAAUUUGCGGAUAAUUUAUAUCUCCAAAUUAACGCAGAGUUGCAAAGAAUAGUACAAAUAAAUCAAAAAUUAAGAUGCACAAUAUUAUUUGGAAUCCUAGGGUUAGAUCCGCAAUUUAGGACUACAAUUCUGGAUUUGAACCCUGGUGUUUUAGCCAAGCUCCAGCCAUAGCGAUAGAGUGACUCUCGAUCCUCAUCAAGGCCAUAGCGACAGGAUGGGAUAUGAUCAUUAAGGCCACAGCGACAAAAUUAACACCAGGGUACCAUUGAUUGUAGUCGCAAAUAUUUAGAAUCUCAUGGUUUGAUUCGUAAAUCGGAGUCGUAAUUUAGAUUCUUAAGUCGCACCAUGGACUUGUAAAUCGUAAACUUGACUUGUAAUCGUAAUUUAGACUCUUUGUCGUAAAUUAGAUUUUGAAAGAGAACUUAGAUUCGUAAAUACUUGGAAUCUUAGGGUUUGAUUCGCAAAUAUUCGUGAGAGUCGUAAUUUAGAUUCUUAAGUCGCACCUUGGACUUGUAAAUCGUAAACUUGACUUGUAAUCGUAAUUUAGACUUUUUGUCGUAAAUUAGAUUUCGUAACUAUCACCUUGACUCGUGGGUCGAACAGAUGAUAGAUAAGGUCGAAGCGACGGAUGUCAUCCAGCCGAAGCGAUGGGUGAUUGAUCCGUCUGAAGUGAUGAAUGAUUAUUCUAAAUGUGGCAUACAUAUCGCAUAAUACCUUCAUCUANNNNNNNNNNNNNNNNNNNNNNNNNNNNNNNNNNNNNNNNNNNNNNNNNNNNNNNNNNNNNNNNNNNNNNNNNNNNNNNNNNNNNNNNNNNNNNNNNNNNAGUUCUUUUGAUGUUUGGUUGCCACUGAGUUUGGGCACUCCUAUCUUUCUUCUGACGGAUAAUAGUUACCCACUAUUAGCGUGACACACUUGAUUGUGAGUGUGAGUGUGAACUGUGGCUUUGGUUGCCAUCACAGUCAUAGGAUGGAGAGCGUAAGCUAUGGCUUUGGUGGCCAUAACUUUUACCAGACUGAGAGUGUGAGCUAUGACUUUGGUGGCCAUAACUGCUACCAGACUGAGAGUGUGAGUUAUGACUUUGGUGGCCAUAACUGCUACUGGAUUUAGGGUGUGAGCUAUGACUUUGGUAGCCAUAACUGCUACCCGGAGACUCCUCGCUGUAUCGAAGAAGACUAGUCGAGGUUUCGGAUUGGGAACUUGUAUCCUCGUAUGCAUCUUCUUUAGCAUAGCGAGGUUUCUUCCGGCUGGACGGCUCGAGUUCGUCCAGCUUGUCAUUGUUCUCCUCUUCUAUCUCAAUAUACGAUUGAGCUCGUUGGAAGAGGUCGGGCAGGGUCUCCACUUUAUGGAGCAUCAGAUACCAACCCUCUCACGUAUCCUGCUAUGGCCAGACUUGGAAUUAGAUCGUUCACUUCUGUCAUCAUCGAAGUGAACUUAAUCGUGUAAUCACUCAGAGACAGCUUGUUCUGUCGUAGUGCCAGUAGUGCGUUGGCACUGUGUUUUAUUCUGAUCAUCCCCACAUGUUGGGCGAUGAACUUGGAAGAGAGGUCCGUGAAGCUAGAGACUGAGCCAGCCGGCAGACCGAAAAACCACCGAUAUGCGUUGCCUCUCAGAGUGCCUGGGAAGGCCCGACACAACAACCCAUUAUCGGUAGUUUGCGGCUCCAAGAUAUUCAGGUAGAGGUUAACAUGAUCCUCAGGAUUUGUCGUUCCAUCGUACGAGUCUAUCUUCGGACACCGCCAAGAUUGCGGAAAAGGUUUUCUCAGGAGGUCCCUAUGAAAGGGUGCCCUUCCUAUUCUGAGAAGAUCAUGUGGGUCCCUUAGGUCAUGCUUGUCUUUACGAGGCAUUUCCUUGAUUACCCUAUUCAUGAGUGUGGCAUCGUAAUCCGCACGAGUCGUGGAACUCGAAGGUACACCCGAGUGAUGUACUGCGGACCUGUGGUGAGAACCGAGAUGCUUGUGUCUCUUUGUUUCACCGUGGUUGUCUCCCAUAGGAGAGUGAUGCGAGUUGGAUUUGGGUUUCCCUGAGACUGAAGGACUCUUUCCCUUGAGCUCUCGAAGCUCCUUGGGUAUCCUUGAUUCGGACCGAUGAUGCGUACUUAAGUUUGUCUUCCUCAAAUGUGGGUUAGACUUGCUUGUCGUACAUCGUAUGGUGGUCCGGCUCCUUGGAGCCUCUAGGUUGGUUAUCCUUUUGUCCAAUUUCAACAUGAGAGCAUGCAUGUGCGCAAGCCUUUCCUGUGUUGUCGGAGUUGGAUUGACACCCCCAUUUAGUGGGAGUGGUGAGGACACCUCAUGUGUAGAUGAUGGUGCAUUAGACUCUACAAGAAAUAAGUCCUUGUAUGGCGGUCUUUAGAUGGCGGAUUUCCGCCAUCUAAAGUGAUCGUCGGCGGAAAUCCGCCAUCUAGGACAUCGCCAUUAAAACCCCAUAACCGCCAUAUAAAGACCGCCAUCUAUUAUCCAUCCCCAUUUCCCACCAAAAAUUGUAUAGAUGGCAGAUUUCCGCCAUCUAAUCUGAAAAUUUUCGCGGGAACUGAAAUUUUUUUUCCGCCAUCUAAAAUAUGGCGCGGAAAAAGUUUGGCGCCAAUUCAUUGAUGGCGGUUAAUUUUAUUGAUGGCGGAUGUCCGCCGACUAUCCUUGUAACAUUAGAUGGCGGAAAUCCGCCAUCUAAAGUAUAGCAGGCGGUUCCCUAUUAUUAUAAAUGGCGGAUAUCCGCCAUCUAUUCGUGGGAGAGGACGAUUGUGCCCAUAUUAGAUGGCGGAUUUCCGCCAUCUAAAACUAAGUAGAAGAGUAUAGAUGGCCGAAAUCCGCCAUACAAUGUUUGUUUCAUGUUUUUUAAAAAAAAUAGGAUUCUAUAUUUUGCGUUCGAAUCGUUGUUUUUUGAAAUAGAAAUCGAUAUUUGAGAAAGCGAUUUUGAAAUUGAAAUUGAAAUCGAUGUUUUUUAUUAAAAAGAAAUUAAAUUACAGAAUCGUCAAACAUUCGAAGUUUGAAUAAGAAAAAAAAAAUCGUUUAAUCAACACUCGUCUGAAAGCGAGUCUUCUGAAUCAGAAUUUGAAAUAUCUGAUCCGAAUGCAGACGGUAUAGUGGACUUUGAAGUAGAAGCCAUCUGCGUCAUGUCGAGUCCGGAAGUCUUCAAAGUCUUAUUCAGUUUCUUCAUAUAUGAUUUCAUAGCAUUGAACUUUUUCUUGUAUUUGGAGACGUCUUUCUGACUCUCGUUACACUUGUUCUGAAAAUGAAAACAAAAAUGAGUUCGAUAAUCAACAAAAUUAUUGAAAUAUAUUGUAAAUACCUCCAAUUCUUUGAAUUUUUCCGACCAAACUGCAUCUGGUGUUGCAUCAGUAGUCGUGUUUUCGGAGACCGGCUCUUUUCCUUUCCAAGUUGGAGAAGCCCAUCUUUUGUUCGUUGUGCUUACCAUACUUGCAGCUUCUCCAAUUCCUAUUAUUCGAUUCUUCUUAUUUUUUCCGAAUGUCUUGUUGACCGUCGCUUCGAUAAAUUGCUGCAUUAUAAAAAAAUAAAAAAAUAAGAAAUGCGAAAUAUAUUUAAAAUAAUCAAUGGAACUUACAAAUGGAGUCAUUGAUUCAGAUUCAGCUCACGAUUUUGCCUCUUGACUUUUGAUAAAUUCCGUGGCUUCAAGCUGAAAGAAUAACAAAAUCAAGCAAUGAUAAUAGAAAUUAUAAAAUAUAAAUAAUUUUAAAAAAAUACUUACAACUUUAUCGCUUUCCUUUUAUGUCAUUUGUAAAGUCUCUGACCAAGCUUCGACUUCACUCCUUCCUUGUUGCAUCUAUAUUCACAUAAUUCAUUAAUA